UGCAGUCGAGCGGACAGAAGGGAGCUUGCUCCCGGAUGUUAGCGGCGGACGGGUGAGUAACACGUGGGUAACCUGCCUGUAAGACUGGGAUAACUCCGGGAAACCGGAGCUAAUACCGGAUAGUUCCUUGAACCGCAUGGUUCAAGGAUGAAAGACGGUUUCGGCUGUCACUUACAGAUGGACCCGCGGCGCAUUAGCUAGUUGGUGGGGUAAUGGCUCACCAAGGCGACGAUGCGUAGCCGACCUGAGAGGGUGAUCGGCCACACUGGGACUGAGACACGGCCCAGACUCCUACGGGAGGCAGCAGUAGGGAAUCUUCCGCAAUGGACGAAAGUCUGACGGAGCAACGCCGCGUGAGUGAUGAAGGUUUUCGGAUCGUAAAGCUCUGUUGUUAGGGAAGAACAAGUGCGAGAGUAACUGCUCGCACCUUGACGGUACCUAACCAGAAAGCCACGGCUAACUACGUGCCAGCAGCCGCGGUAAUACGUAGGUGGCAAGCGUUGUCCGGAAUUAUUGGGCGUAAAGGGCUCGCAGGCGGUUUCUUAAGUCUGAUGUGAAAGCCCCCGGCUCAACCGGGGAGGGUCAUUGGAAACUGGGAAACUUGAGUGCAGAAGAGGAGAGUGGAAUUUCCACGUGUAGCGGUGAAAUGCGUAGAGAUGUGGAGGAACACCAGUGGCGAAGGCGACUCUCUGGUCUGUAACUGACGCUGAGGAGCGAAAGCGUGGGGAGCGAACAGGAUUAGAUACCCUGGUAGUCCACGCCGUAAACGAUGAGUGCUAAGUGUUAGGGGGUUUCCGCCCCUUAGUGCUGCAGCUAACGCAUUAAGCACUCCGCCUGGGGAGUACGGUCGCAAGACUGAAACUCAAAGGAAUUGACGGGGGCCCGCACAAGCGGUGGAGCAUGUGGUUUAAUUCGAAGCAACGCGAAGAACCUUACCAGGUCUUGACAUCCUCUGACAACCCUAGAGAUAGGGCUUUCCCUUCGGGGACAGAGUGACAGGUGGUGCAUGGUUGUCGUCAGCUCGUGUCGUGAGAUGUUGGGUUAAGUCCCGCAACGAGCGCAACCCUUGAUCUUAGUUGCCAGCAUUCAGUUGGGCACUCUAAGGUGACUGCCGGUGACAAACCGGAGGAAGGUGGGGAUGACGUCAAAUCAUCAUGCCCCUUAUGACCUGGGCUACACACGUGCUACAAUGGACAGAACAAAGGGCUGCAAGACCGCAAGGUUUAGCCAAUCCCAUAAAUCUGUUCUCAGUUCGGAUCGCAGUCUGCAACUCGACUGCGUGAAGCUGGAAUCGCUAGUAAUCGCGGAUCAGCAUGCCGCGGUGAAUACGUUCCCGGGCCUUGUACACACCGCCCGUCACACCACGAGAGUUUGCAACACCCGAAGUCGGUGAGGUAACCUUUAUGGAGCC
rnacentral:rRNA from 1 species